rnacentral:rRNA from 1 species
GUGUCAGCCGCCGCGGUAAUACAGAGGGUGCGAGCGUUAAUCGGAAUUACUGGGCGUAAAGCGUGCGUAGACGGUUACGUAAGUCGGGUGUGAAAGCCCCGGGCUCAACCUGGGAAUUGCAUUCGAGACUGCGCAGCUAGGGUGCGGAAGAGGGAAGCGGAAUUUCCGGUGUAGCGGUGAAAUGCGUAGAUAUCGGAAGGAACAUCAGUGGCGAAAGCGGCUUCCUGGUCCAGCACCGACGUUCAGGCACGAAAGCGUGGGGAGCAAACAGGAUUAGAUACCCUCGUAGUCC